rnacentral:rRNA from 1 species
ACGCUCGACACCUACGGGAGGCAGCAGUCGGGAAUAUUGCACAAUGGAGGAAACUCUGAUGCAGUGACGCCGCGUGCAGGAAGAAGGUUUUCGGAUUGUAAACUGCUUUAGACAGGGAAGAGAAAGGACAGUACCUGUAGAAUAAGCUCCGGCUAACUACGUGCCACAGCCGCGGUAAUCUGAGCGGCUGGCAAGGC